UGCGCAUUGUCUUGACGUUGUUUGCGUAGUUGUCUGUAUGUUUGCAUAUAUGUAUGUUUGUAUAUUUUUGAAUGCGAAGAUGAAGCAGAAGUGGAAGAGCAAGAAGAAGCACAACAGCAUGCCAAAUAACUAGCGCAGACGUAAAAGGGGCAAGAGAGAGCGAGAGAGGGAGAGCUCACCAGUUAACAUGACACGACCAACGUCAACAACAACAACGACAGCAACAACAAGUCAACAGAACAAACCGGCACAUUCAACUUAAGCACACACACACACGAAGAGGAAUAAGAUGAUGAUGAUGAAGAGGGACAAGCGACUGAGACGCCAGUCUGAUGCGUGCAAAAGAGAGGGCAACAUGCGAAACGAAAAACCAAACGAAAGCGUACAAAUAAAUAAAGCAGAAGGCACACCGAAAGAAAAAUGUCUUGUAAUUAAAAUGAACUGAAGUAGCCCAUGAAACUAACAGUUACAUUUUAAACAUGAUUAUCGAAAUUUGAAGAAAAUACAAAAAAAUAUCGCACAUCCCUGAACAGUGCACAAUAAUAAUUUCAUCCCCACACUUAAAUACACAUGUCAGUUCGUUUCGAGUGUUGUUGUUAAUUUUUGUUGAUGUGUUUUUAUUUAGAUUUUUUAUUAUCGCGCGUUUUUUCUUUUUUUUUUAUUUCGGCUUAUCACUUGUCCUACCUCCCGCUUUAGCCUCUCUCCCUCUCUCACUCACUCUCUCUCUCGCUCCCCCCGCCUACCCGUUUUCACCAACAGCUUAAGUUGAUGUGAUCUUUGUUCACCGCGCGCUCAAUUCACAGUUAAGCCAUAUCAACCAAGAUUGUUGGACGCUGGGUUGUGUGUGUGUGUGUUGGGGGGGGGGGGUGUAGAAUUCCGUUGGAGAGGGAGGAGGGAGAGCAAUAAACCUAACCUGAAUCUACAACAACUGACUGUGCUGAUGGUUGACAUUGCAAGAGAGUAGCGGAAAGCGUGAGAUGGGAAGGGCAGAGAAGAAAUGAAACGAAUAAAUAAAGAAAAAUGAGAAGAAAAAAGAGACGGAGAAAGAAAGAUGGUUGUCGGAGGAGAAGCCGAAUAAGCGCAAAGUAGCGCAACUUGCGGUGACAACAAAAGCAACAACAAUAACAAAAACGACAACUAGAACAACAAUCGACGGUUACAGCAACAAUGAGGUACAGUGAGCACCAGACACGUGACUCUUUCAAAACAUGUACAUCCAUAUGUGCAUUGUUUUAAGCUAACUAUACCAUAAAACAAAUUAAGAAAAGCGAAGAAAAAUUAAAUAAAUAUUUUUUUU
ensembl:ncRNA lncRNA:CR44619 long non-coding RNA:CR44619